GACGAACGCUGGCGGCGUGCUUAACACAUGCAAGUCGAACGGUAAGGCCUUCGGGUACACGAGUGGCGAACGGGUGAGUAACACGUGGGUGAUCUGCCCUGCACUUUGGGAUAAGCCUGGGAAACUGGGUCUAAUACCGAAUAGGACCACGCGCUUCAUGGUGUGUGGUGGAAAGCUGUUGCGGUGUGGGAUGGGCCCGUGGCCUAUCAGCUUGUUGGUGGGGUAAUGGCCUACCAAGGCGACGACGGGUAGCCGGCCUGAGAGGGUGACCGGCCACACUGGGACUGAGAUACGGCCCAGACUCCUACGGGAGGCAGCAGUGGGGAAUAUUGCACAAUGGGCGCAAGCCUGAUGCAGCGACGCCGCGUGAGGGAUGACGGCCUUCGGGUUGUAAACCUCUUUCAGUAGGGGCGAAGCGCAAGUGACGGUACCUAUAGAAGAAGGACCGGCCAACUACGUGCCAGCAGCCGCGGUAA
rnacentral:rRNA from 1 species